CGACCUCAGAGCAGGCGAGACUACCCGCUGAAUUUAAGCAUAUUACUAAGCGGAGGAAACGAAACUAACAAGGAUUCCCCCAGUAGCGGCGAGCGAACAGGGAAGAGUCCAGCACCGAACCCCGCAGGCUGCCGCCUGUCGUGGCAUGUGGUGUUUGGGAGGGUCCACUACCCCGACGCCUCGCGCCGAGCCCAAGUCCAACUUGAAUGAGGCCACGGCCCGUAGAGGGUGCCAGGCCCGUAGCGGCCGGUGCGAGCGUCGGCGGGACCUCUCCUUCGAGUCGGGUUGCUUGAGAGUGCAGCUCCAAGUGGGUGGUAAACUCCAUCUGAGACUAAAUAUGACCACGAGACCGAUAGCGAACAAGUACCGUGAGGGAAAGUUGAAAAGAACUUUGAAGAGAGAGUUCAAAAGUACGUGAAACCGUUCUGGGGUAAACGUGAGAAGUCCGAAAGGUCGAACGGGUGAGAUUCACGCCCAUCCGGCCACUGGCCUCCGCCCUCGGCAGAUGGGGCCGGCCGCCCGCGCGGAGCAAUCUGCGGCGGGGUCGUGUCCGGUUGCCUUUCCACUCGCCGCGGGGUGGGGCCGUUCCGGUGUGCGGUGGGCCGCACUUCUCCCCUAGUAGGACGUCGCGACCCGCUGGGUGCCGGCCUACGGCCCGGGUGCGCAGCCUGUCCUUCCGCGGGCCUCGGUUCGCGUCUGUUGGGCAGAGCCCCGGUGUCCUGGCUGGCUGCCCGGCGGUAUAUCUGGAGGAGUCGAUUCGCCCCUUUGGGCGCUCGGGCUCCCGGCAAGCGCGCGCGGUUCUUCCCGGAUGACGGACCUACCUGGCCCGGCCCCGGACCCGCGCCGCUGUUGGCUCGGGAUGCUCUCGGGCGGAAUAAUCGCUCCCGUCAGCGGCGCUUCAGCUUUGGACAAUUUCACGACCCGUCUUGAAACACGGACCAAGGAGUCUAACAUGUGCGCGAGUCAUUGGGCUGUACGAAACCUAAAGGCGUAAUGAAAGUGAAGGUCUCGCCUUGCGCGGGCCGAGGGAGGAUGGGGCUUCCCCGCCCUUCACGGGGCGGCGGCCUCCGCACUCCCGGGGCGUCUCGUCCUCAUUGCGAGGUGAGGCGCACCUAGAGCGUACACGUUGGGACCCGAAAGAUGGUGAACUAUGCCUGGCCAGGACGAAGUCAGGGGAAACCCUGAUGGAGGUCCGUAGCGAUUCUGACGUGCAAAUCGAUCGUCGGAGCUGGGUAUAGGGGCGAAAGACUAAUCGAACCAUCUAGUAGCUGGUUCCCUCCGAAGUUUCCCUCAGGAUAGCUGGUGCUCGUACGAGUCUCAUCCGGUAAAGCGAAUGAUUAGAGGCCUUGGGGCCGAAACGACCUCAACCUAUUCUCAAACUUUAAAUGGGUGAGAUCUCCGGCUUGCUUGAUAUGCUGAAGCCGCGAGCAAACGACUCGGAUCGGAGUGCCAAGUGGGCCACUUUUGGUAAGCAGAACUGGCGCUGUGGGAUGAACCAAACGCCGAGUUAAGGCGCCCGAAUCGACGCUCAUGGGAAACCAUGAAAGGCGUUGGUUGCUUAAGACAGCAGGACGGUGGCCAUGGAAGUCGGAAUCCGCUAAGGAGUGUGUAACAACUCACCUGCCGAAGCAACUAGCCCUGAAAAUGGAUGGCGCUGAAGCGUCGUGCCUAUACUCGGCCGUCAGUCUGGCAGUCAUGGCCGGUCCUUGCGGCCGGCCGCGAAGCCCUGACGAGUAGGAGGGUCGCGGCGGUGGGCGCAGAAGGGUCUGGGCGUGAGCCUGCCUGGAGCCGCCGUCGGUGCAGAUCUUGGUGGUAGUAGCAAAUACUCCAGCGAGGCCCUGGAGGGCUGACGCGGAGAAGGGUUUCGUGUGAACAGCCGUUGCACACGAGUCAGUCGAUCCUAAGCCCUAGGAGAAAUCCGAUGUUGAUGGGGGCCGUCAUAGCAUGAUGCGCUUUGUGCUGGCCCCCGUUGGGCGAAAGGGAAUCCGGUUCCUAUUCCGGAACCCGGCAGCGGAACCGAUACAAGUCGGGCCCCUCUUUUAGAGAUGCUCGUCGGGGUAACCCAAAAGGACCCGGAGACGCCGUCGGGAGAUCGGGGAAGAGUUUUCUUUUCUGCAUGAGCGUUCGAGUUCCCUGGAAUCCUCUAGCAGGGAGAUAGGGUUUGGAACGCGAAGAGCACCGCAGUUGCGGCGGUGUCCCGAUCUUCCCCUCGGACCUUGAAAAUCCGGGAGAGGGCCACGUGGAGGUGUCGCGCCGGUUCGUACCCAUAUCCGCAGCAGGUCUCCAAGGUGAAGAGCCUCUAGUCGAUAGAAUAAUGUAGGUAAGGGAAGUCGGCAAAUUGGAUCCGUAACUUCGGGAUAAGGAUUGGCUCUGAGGAUCGGGGCGUGUCGGGCUUGGUCGGGAAGUGGGUCAGCGCUAACGUGCCGGGCCUGGGCGAGGUGAGUGCCGUAGGGGUGCCGGUAAGUGCGGGCGUUUAGCGCGGGCGUGGUCUGCUCUCGCCGUUGGUCGGCCUCGUGCUGGUCGGCGGUGCAGGAUGCGCGCGCCUGCGCGGCGUUCGCGCCCCGGUGCUUCAACCUGCGUGCAGGAUCCGAGCUCGGUCCCGUGCCUUGGCCUCCCACGGAUCUUCCUUGCUGCGAGGCCGCGUCCGCCUUAGCGUGCUCCUCCGGGGGCGCGCGGGUGCGCGGAUUCUCUUCGGCCGCCAUUCAACGAUCAACUCAGAACUGGCACGGACUGGGGGAAUCCGACUGUCUAAUUAAAACAAAGCAUUGCGAUGGCCCUAGCGGGUGUUGACGCAAUGUGAUUUCUGCCCAGUGCUCUGAAUGUCAACGUGAAGAAAUUCAAGCAAGCGCGGGUAAACGGCGGGAGUAACUAUGACCCACCAUCCCGGGGCUGAUUGAGUUUUGGAGGGAUCUCUUUACUCCCCCUCGUGUUAGGUCUCGGCCUCCACGUGGGGAGGGUCUCUCAGGUAAGUUGUUGCCAUUUUGUAAGUCUGUGCCCAUCGAAGUUGUAUGGGCGCCCAUUACUGCAGACGAGGUAGCUGCAGCUCUUCCCCCUCGCAACUCUGCAGCAGGCCCUGAUCGCCUUACACCAUCCCAGUUACGUCGCCUUCCUCGUGAGGCUCUUCUUAAAUUCCUCAACCUCCUACUCCUCUCACGUUCCCUCCCAUCCCGUCUCCUACAAGCUCGUACCACCUUGCUGCCCAAGAAGACCGCCGUAGCAUCCCCCGCUGACUUCCGACCUAUCACGGUGUGUUCGGUGCUGACCAGGGUCUUUCACAAGGUCCUGGUUGGCCGCCUUAUGCGCCACUGUGCCUUGGACGGUCGUCAGCGGGCUUUCAUCCCACAGGAUGGGAUGCUCCAUAACACCUUUCUGCUGGAUCUGGCGAUGACCCAGGCACGGAGCACUGCCAGCUCGCUGUAUGUAGCAUCGCUGGAUGUGUCAAAGGCCUUCGACUCGCUGUCCCAUGGUGCCCUAGGUCCUGUGCUGAGGGCCCAUGGUCUGCCGGUCGAGUUCAUUGACUACAUCCUGGGGUGCUAUGAGGCGGGCUCGACGGUUAUCUGUGGUGCUGGGAAGUCGUCAGAUCUAGUGCGGCCUUCGAGGGGCGUGCGGCAAGGUGAUCCCUUAUCCCCCAUCCUUUUCAACAUGUCUAUAGACAUUCUCCUUUCCCGUCUUCCUGAGCAUGUUGGUGCCCGUAUUCUCGGCCGAAGAAUAAAUGCUGCUGCGUUUGCGGAUGACCUUCUUCUCUUUGCUGAGACGAAGGAUGGAUUGCAGGAGCUAAUCACCAUCGCUGCAACGGCCCUAGGUGACCUCGGUCUUGAGAUCAACCCAAAGAAGUGCUUCUCUCUCGCCCUGGUUGCAUCAGGGCGGGAGAAGAAGAUAAAGGUUGAUGAGUCUGUUGUCUUUCGGGCAGGUAACAACAACAUUCCGGCCCUAGCGAUGGGAGAUUCCUUUAAAUACUUAGGCCUGCAGUUCACCACAUGCGGGCGCAGCAUUUUCCAUCCUCGGCGCGAGGUCGAGAAACAGUUGAACACCAUUAGCAGGGCACCCCUUAAGCCUCAGCAAAGACUCUUUUUCCUUUCCUCAGUUAUCCUGCCGGGCAUUUUUCAUGGCCUGGCCCUGGGAAGGACACGUCUAGGGGCCCUCUCGUCCCUCGAUGUUUGCGUCCGCAAAGCCAUUAGAUCCUGGCUCCACCUGCCGGCGGACACCCCUGUUGGGUACUUUCAUGCCCCUGUCUCUCAUGGGGGCCUGGGGGUCCCGGCAGCCCGCUGGCUGGGUCCUCUUCUCCGGAGGAGGCGCCUUGCUAAGAUGGAGAGACUCGGUACGGCAGCUGACGAUACCUCCCAGGAUUCCCUUAGACGUGAAAUCCAACAGUUGGAUAACGCCUUACGAUGGAAUGGCGACGUUAUUAAGUCCAGCUACCAACUGGGUCGGUGCUGGGCCGAGCGCCUGCACUCAUCAGUCGACGGCGCUGCUCUGCGGAAGUCUGCCCAAACACCAGGGCAGCACUACUGGGUGUCUAACACUCGGCAGUUUGUCGCAGGCCGGGACUAUAUCUCCUGCCUUCGUGCUCGGAUUAAUGCCCUGCCCACUCAGGCACGGCUCCUACGAGGGCGGGAGGGUGACACAAGGUGCCGGGGAGGCUGCAACGCCACAGAGACUGCCAACCAUGUCAUCCAGCAGUGUUGGAGGAGCGACGGGGCCCGCAUUGCCAGACAUGACGCUAUGGCGUCAUAUCUGGUGCGAGGCCUUCGUCGAAGAGGCUAUGAAGUUCUUUUGGAGCCUCACCUGCGGACAUCAGAAGGAUUGAAGAAGCCUGAUGUCGUGGCAGUCCGUGGCGAAGCAGCAUAUAUUAUUGACGCCCAGGUGAUCGGCGAUAGCCUCGACCUCGACCGUUGUCAUAGGGAGAAGAUCGCCAUCUAUGAUAAGCAGGCCGUCCAUGCAAAGGUCCGAGAGCUUUAUCCAGCAGUCCGACAUAUCACCACCACGUCAGCAACCAUCAA